AGAGUUUGAUCAUGGCUCAGAAUCAACGCUGGCGGCGUGCCUAGCACAUGCAAGUCGAACGAGAAAGGGGAGCAAUCCCUGAGUACAGUGGCGACCGGGUGAGUAACACGUGACUACCUACCCUUGAGUGGGGGAUAACCCCGGGAAACCGGGGCUAAUACCGCAUAAUAUCGAAAGAUCAAAGGAGAAAUCCGCUUUUGGAGGGGGUCGCGGCUGAUUAGCUAGUUGGUGAGGUAAUGGCUCACCAAGGCGAAGAUCGGUAUCCGGCCUGAGAGGGCGCACGGACACACUGGAACUGAAACACGGUCCAGACUCCUACGGGAGGCAGCAGUGGGGAAUUUUGCGCAAUGGGGGAAACCCUGACGCAGCAACGCCGCGUGGAGGAUGAAGCUCCUUGGAGUGUAAACUCCUUUCGACCGGGAAAAUAAUGAUGGUACCGGUGGAAGAAGCACCGGCUAACUCUGUGCCAGCAGCCGCGGUAAUACAGAGGGUGCGAGCGUUGUUCGGAAUUAUUGGGCGUAAAGGGCGCGUAGGCGGUGUUGUAAGUCACCUGUGAAACCUCUGGGCUUAACUCAGAGCCUGCAGGCGAAACUGCAAUGCUGGAGGGUGGGAGAGGUGCGUGGAAUUCCCGGUGUAGCGGUGAAAUGCGUAGAUAUCGGGAGGAACACCUGUGGCGAAAGCGGCGCACUGGACCACUACUGACGCUGAGGCGCGAAAGCUAGGGGAGCAAACAGGAUUAGAUACCCCCGUAGUCC
rnacentral:rRNA from 1 species